CAGCUGCUGAUUCUCUGCUGUCAAACUCAGGCUAAGCGCAUGGGGCAGCCAAGCCUGAGGGAUGGAGCCCGGGAGUGGUCGGAAGAGGGCGGAGGUGAUGGCUCAGCUAUUAAAAUGCACUGGUC